rnacentral:rRNA from 1 species
UACGUAGGGUGCGAGCGUUAAUCGGAAUUACUGGGCGUAAAGCGUGCGCAGGCGGUGAUGUAAGACAGAUGUGAAAUCCCCGGGCUCAACCUGGGAACUGCAUUUGUGACUGCAUCGCUGGAGUGCGGCAGAGGGGGAUGGAAUUCCGCGUGUAGCAGUGAAAUGCGUAGAGAUGUGGAGGAACACCGAUGGCGAAGGCAGCCCCCUGGGUCAAAACUGACGCUCAUGCACGAAAGCGUGGGGAGCAAACAGG